rfam:Rhodospirillum centenum SW, complete genome.
CGGUCGGCAGUUCACCCAGGCGUCGCCAUCCCGAAAGGGAAUGCUGAACCUGCCA